GAUGAAGAACGUAGCGAAAUGUGAUAAGUAGUGUGAAUUGCAGAAUUCAGUGAAUCAUCGAAUCUUUGAACGCACAUUGCGCCCCUUGGUAUUCCAUGGGGCAUGCCUGUUCGAGCGUCAUUUGUACCUUCAAGCUCUGCUUGGUGUUGGGUGUUUGUCUCGCCUCUGCGUGUAGACUCGCCUCAAAACAAUUGGCAGCCGGCGUAUUGAUUUCGGAGCGCAGUACAUCUCGCGCUUUGCACUCAUAACGACGACGUCCAAAAGUACAUUUUUACACUCUUGACCUCGGAUCAGGGAGGGAUACCCGCUGAACUUAAGCAUAUCAAUAAGCGGAGGA
rnacentral:misc_RNA from 1 species